GGGGAUGUAGUUCAGUGGUAGAGUACUUGCCUAGCAUGCACAAAGGCACUGGGUUCCAUCCUCAGUACCAUCCUCA
rnacentral:tRNA from 1 species